CGGCUAUGGGUUCUUGGCCUUGGGAGAUCUGGAGAAAUCCCCAAGCUUAAUGAGACCAUGGCUAUUGAAAUUGGAGCUAACAUGAUUGGAGAGGUGUCUCAGUCCGGGUGGCUCCUCAGGAGCGGUACCUGUUAGACCUGUUACGCCUCCCCCUCCCUCCUUGUCGGUGUCUCGGCCUGGGCGGAUCCUCAGGAGCGCGGCUCCUACGGCCGCGCUCCUCAGGAGCAGUACCCGUUACUCCUGCCCCUGUGUCGGCGUCUCGC
rnacentral:misc_RNA from 1 species